UACGGAGGGAGCUAGCGUUGUUCGGAAUUACUGGGCGUAAAGCGCACGUAGGCGGCUUUGUAAGUUAGAGGUGAAAGCCCGGGGCUCAACUCCAGAACUGCCUUCGAUACUGAGAGUCUCUAGUCCGAGAGAGGUGAGUGGAACUGCGAGUGUAGAGGUGAAAUUCGUAGAUAUUCGCAAGAACACCAGUGGCGAAGGCGGCUCACUGGCUCGGUACUGACGCUGAGGUGCGAAAGCGAGGGGAGCAAACAGG
rnacentral:rRNA from 1 species